CCUACGGGAGGCAGCAGUGAGGAAUAUUGGUCAAUGGCCGGAAGGCUGAACCAGCCAAGCCGCGUGAGGGAGGAAGGCGCAGAGCGUCGCAGACCUCUUUUGCCGGGGGACAAAAGGCGGGACUAGUCCGGGGCUGAGGGUACCCGGAGAAAAAGCAUCGGCUAACUCCGUGCCAGCAGCCGCGGUAAUACGGAGGAUGCUAGCGUUAUCCGGAUUUAUUGGGUUUAAAGGGUGCGUAGGCGGUGCGGUAAGUCAGCGGUGAAAGGCCCCCGCUCAACGCGGUGACGUGCCAUUGAUACUGCCUUGCUGGACUGCGGCUGCCGUGCGCGGAAUGUGUGGUGUAGCGGUGAAAUGCUUAGAUAUCACACAGAACCCCGAUUGCGAAGGCAUCUCACGAAUCC
rnacentral:rRNA from 1 species